ACUGCACCUGGUUAGAAAGUAGUCAAAAAAGUUGCUUUUUGGCGCGUUAUGAAAGAUGCUUUCGCCUGUUUCAGUGCGAACUUUUAGUUGUUUUUCCGCGCCCUCCACUUGCCACUCGCGGCUGCGAGGGCGCGCUCGGCUGAAACUCAGUGUUGCUCUGAAUGGCCCCGCGUACGGACCCGCCCGCGCGUCUGUCGGCCGAUGAAAGCACGCGGUAGAAAGUCGAUCGCUACGGGCUGUGUUCUUCGUGAUUAAAACUUGUGAUAUUUGCGGUUGGAUUGUUUUUUUCAGAACUAAGACAAUACCUAGUGUUACGUGUUAUCCUAAAGCCAGUGACAGUCGGAUGGACGUGCAGUUGAGAUCAAGUGAAAGUCGGUAAUUUCCCGGUGUGGGAAGGAAGCAACAAUGGAUCACCUGUUCCGCCAGCGGCGGAUAAGCGUGCCCAAGCGCACGAGCGAGCUAGUGGCGCUGGUCGCGGUGUCGUGCACGCUGUUCCUGUUCCUACACACGCGGGACCUGAGCACCAAGCUGCGCCGCAUGGAGGGCAAGCUGAACGAC